rnacentral:rRNA from 1 species
CAUGGAGGGUGAGAAUCCCGUCCGGUUGAUCAGAUUCGCUUUACGAUACGCUUUCUAAGAGUCAAGUUGUUUGGGAUUGCAGCUUAAAAUGGGAGGUAAAUUUCUCCUAAGGCUAAAUAACGGCGAGAGACCGAUAGCGAACAAGUACCGUGAGGGAAAGAUGAAAAGAACUUUGAAAAGAGAGUUAAAUAGUACGUGAAAUUGUUGAAAGGGAAACGAUUGAAGCCAGUCGUACCUAUGGGUAAUCAGCCUUUUGGGUGUGAUUUUGUGGAGCGUGAGGAGUUAAACGCCUUCAUGCCUGCAUAUUCGUGCACUUUGGGUGUACUUGCCCGUAUGGUUGGUUAACAUCAAUUUUGGUGGUCAUAAAAUGACUGGAGGAAUGUAGCUUCGAUCUCGUAUUGAAGUGUUAUAGCCUUCGGUAGAUGUGAUGAUCGAGAUUGAGGAUUGCAACGGAUACCCUUCGGGGCUACCUGUCUGAUCUCUGAUCGUUGCUCUGGUGCCGAAAGCUUGCUUACGGUUAUCAAAGUCGAUGGUCAAUAGGUUAGAACGGGUUAAAUUCGUUAAGGAUGUUGACGUAAUGG